UACGUAGGUGGCAAGCGUUGUCCGGAUUUAUUGGGUUUAAAGGGUGCGUAGGCGGCUUUGUAAGUCAGUGGUGAAAUAUGUCAGCUCAACUGAGAGGGUGCCAUUGAUACUGCAGAGCUUGAGUACAGAUGAGGUAGGCGGAAUUGACGGUGUAGCGGUGAAAUGCUUAGAUAUCGUCAAGAACACCGAUAGCGAAGGCAGCUUGCUAGCCUGUAACUGACGCUGAGGCACGAAAGCUAGGGGAGCGAACGGG
rnacentral:rRNA from 1 species